AACGCACCUUGCGCCCCUUGGCUAUUCCGAGGGGCAUGCCUGUUUGAGUAUCAUGAACACCUCAACUCUCAUGGUUCGCCGUGAUGAGCUUGGACUCUGGGGGUUUUGCUGGCCUGUGGUCGGCUCCUCUCAAAUGAAUCAGCCUCCCAGUGUUUGGCGGCAUCACGGGUGUGAUAAAUAUCUACGCUCGCUGUUGUCUGCCAGGUAACCUUUGGUCACAAAGGUUUGCUGGAGCUCACAGAUGUCUCUCCUCAGCGAGGACAGCUUUUUUAACGUUCGAUCUCAAAUCAGGUAGGACUACCCGCUGAACUUAA
rnacentral:misc_RNA from 1 species